rnacentral:rRNA from 1 species
UACGUAGGAUGCGAGCGUUGUCCGGAAUUAUUGGGCGUAAAGAGAACGUAGGCGGUUUGUUAAGUUUGGGCUUAAAGACUGGGGCUCAACCCCAGGAGUGGCUCGAAAACUGACAGACUAGAGGAUGGCAGAGGAAAGUGGAAUUCCCAGUGUAGCGGUGAAAUGCGUAGAUAUUGGGAGGAACACCAGUGGCGAAAGCGACUUUCUGGGCCUGUACUGACGCUGAGGAGCGAAAGCGUGGGGAGCAAACAGG